rnacentral:rRNA from 1 species
UGGGGAAUAUUGGUCAAUGGGCGAGAGCCUGAACCAGCCAAGUAGCGUGCAGGAUGACGGCCCUAUGGGUUGUAAACUGCUUUUAUAAGGGAAUAAAGUGAGAGUCGUGACUCUUUUUGCAUGUACCUUAUGAAUAAGGACCGGCUAAUUCCGUGCCAGCAGCCGCGGUAAUACGGAAGGUCCGGGCGUUAUCCGGAUUUAUUGGGUUUAAAGGGAGCGUAGGCCGGAGAUUAAGCGUGUUGUGAAAUGUAGACGCUCAACGUCUGCACUGCAGCGCGAACUGGUUUCCUUGAGUACGCACAAAGUGGGCGGAAUUCGUGGUGUAGCGGUGAAAUGCUUAGAUAUCACGAAGAACUCCGAUUGCGAAGGCAGCUCACUGGAGCGCAACUGACGCUGAAGCUCGAAAGUGCGGGUAUCGAACAGGAUUAGAUACCCUGGUAGUCCGCACGGUAAACGAUGGAUGCCCGCUGUUGGUCUGAACAGGUCAGCGGCCAAGCGAAAGCAUUAAGCAUCCCACCUGGGGAGUACGCCGGCAACGGUGAAACUCAAAGGAAUUGACGGGGGCCCGCACAAGCGGAGGAACAUGUGGUUUAAUUCGAUGAUACGCGAGGAACCUUACCCGGGCUUGAAUUGCAGAGGAAGGAUUUGGAGACAAUGACGCCCUUCGGGGCCUCUGUGAAGGUGCUGCAUGGUUGUCGUCAGCUCGUGCCGUGAGGUGUCGGCUUAAGUGCCAUAACGAGCGCAACCCCUCUCCUUAGUUGCCAUCAGGUUAAGCUGGGCACUCUGGGGACACUGCCACCGUAAGGUGUGAGGAAGGUGGGGAUGACGUCAAAUCAGCACGGCCCUUACGUCCGGGGCUACACACGUGUUACAAUGGCAGGUACAGAGAGACGGUCCCUUGCAAAAUGGAUCAAAUCCUUAAAGCCUGUCUCAGUUCGGACUGGGGUCUGCAACCCGACCCCACGAAGCUGGAUUCGCUAGUAAUCGCGCAUCAGCCAUGGCGCGGUGAAUACGUUCCC